rnacentral:rRNA from 1 species
CAGCAGCCACGGUAAUACGGAGGGGGCUAGCGUUGUUCGGAAUUACUGGGCGUAAAGCGCACGUAGGCGGCUUGGUAAGUUAGAGGUGAAAGCCCGGAGCUCAACUCCGGAAUUGCCUUUAAGACUGCCGAGCUAGUAGGUGAGAGAGGUAAGUGGAAUUCCGAGUGUAGAGGUGAAAUUCGUAGAUAUUCGGAAGAACAUCAGUGGCGAAGGCGGCCAUCUGGGACAACACUGACGCUGAGGCACGAAAGCGUGGGGAGCAAACAGGAUUAGAUACCCGUGUAGUCCCUGUCUCUUAUAA